AAAAGGGGCAAAAAAAGCACGAACCGGUCGCGGGCACUCCUUCCCUGUCCAGCGAGCUGUGAAUUACAGACACGUCACGCUUGGUAUCACUUUUCUUGAACGUGUCGCACUCCCGCGAUUCCAUCGCUUGCUCACGGUUCCCACCCCCGUGUAUAAGCUCCUGCAACCAUCCUCCACCUUCUUCUUCAUUCUCUCCGCAGUUCAAGAAAAUGGUCGCCUGAACCCCGGGUUCUUCUGGGCAUCGAACGAAACGAAUCCUUCUGGUUUUGAUAAGGAAAACCGGAAGACGGCGAGAAAAGAUGGAGUUUGGACUGGUCGGGCUUCUGCGAGCGGCAUGGGUUGCUGGGAUCUUGCCUUUGUUGGUCGCUUCCUUGCCUUUUCCGAGACUCGGUUGGCUUCACGAAGCCGUGAUGGGGCUCGCCAAGAGGGGCAAGAUCAUGCAGUCCUCUUUGUGUAUAUUUACUGUCCCUCAAAGGUUCUUCACUCAUUUUUACGCGCUAGCUGUCAUAUGGACAGGGCUUCUGCUUGCUGCAACAUGGCUAUACGCAUAUGAAAUGGCACCUAUUGCCUCAGAGCCCUUUCUUUAUUCCUCUAUUGCCGGCCACUUGACAGGUGGCUCGCAUCUUUUUACAUUGCAUAGAUAUCGUUCAACUCCGCUAAAGCAUAGAUACAUGGUUUGGAAGUCUGUGUUUCUGCUUCUGUUAAUGGAGAUCCAAGUUUUGAGGCGCCUCUAUGAGAACAUAUAUGUUUUUAACUACAGCCCAUCAGCUCAGAUGCACAUAUUUGCCUAUCUAACUGGACUUUUUUUCUACACCACUGCGCCAUUGUCACUUUGCAGCAAUUUUGCAGCGGAAGUAUAUGAAUUUUCAGCCAAUCGAGUGUCUGAGUUCAUUGUUAGAGGCAAAGAUCAGAUGGCCUCCAGCGAAUUUGAUUUGUUGGAGUUUGUCAAUCCUCUUAUGAAGCUUGGAUGGCGUCACUGGAUUGGUGCUAUUAUCUUUUUCUGGGGUUGGAUUCAUCAGCAUCAGUGUCAUAGAAUCCUUGGCUCACUACGUGAACGCAGAGAAGAAAGUCAUGAAUAUGUAGUCCCUCAUGGCAAUUGGUUUGAACGUGUGUCGUGUCCUCACUAUUUGGCUGAGAUAGUUAUAUAUGCGGGACUAGUGGUUGCAAGUGGAGGAUCAGACCUGACAAUCUGGUUGCUGUUUGGUUUUGUGGUGGCGAAUUUGGUCUUCGUGGCAGCAGAAACACAUAGGUGGUAUCAUAGUAAAUUCGACAACUAUCCAUGGGACCGCUUUGCUAUCAUCCCAUUAAUUUACUAAUGUGUGUGGCCUAUAUACAAGUUUGUACAGAAGAGGCUGCAAAUUGUUAAUAGUCUCAACCAUUGAUGCACGUGAAUGAGGUAUAGUUGAGAUUGAUUAAAAAUCCAAGGAAAGCACAUCGCAAGGCAGAGGAUCCAUGCGCGCGGUUUUCCAUUGGAUCACAAAAAGUUCAGGUAAGUAG